UAAUUUGCAGGGUGGCGGUACCAUAGCCAAUGAGGGUUAUCCGAGGUAUGGCUAUUGCUGGAUGUAAAUUAUUAUUAUUAUUUAGUAGUCUCACUUUUUAUCAUGUGUUUCCACU
rnacentral:snRNA from 1 species